rnacentral:rRNA from 1 species
GUAGGGGGCAAGCGUUAUCCGGAUUUACUGGGUGUAAAGGGAGCGUAGACGGCGAAGCAAGUCUGAAGUGAAAACCCAGGGCUUAACCCCCGGACUGCUUUGGAAACUGUAAAACUGGAGUGCAGGAGAGGUAAGUGGAAUUCCUAGUGUAGCGGUGAAAUGCGUAGAUAUUAGGAGGAACACCAGUGGCGAAGGCGGCUUACUGGACUGUAACUGACGUUGAGGCUCGAAAGCGUGGGGAGC